UUUGUACUCGAACUACACAACCUUCCAAUCCUCAUCCUAGUAAAUGAAACUAAUGUUGCUCUCUGUUCUGUUUAAGUUUCAGGCAGUUACACUAACUCAAAGCAAGAGAAAUCAAUUGUGAGCGAGAUGGACCAGACCAGAAGACCAGCUGUGUGGAUCGUAGGGGACAGCUACAUCCGGCGCGCGUCUGAGAGGGCAAGGGUAAGUAUCGGGAAGAACUUAGACCUGCCGGUCGAUAUAACAUGGUUUGGAGUUGGAGGCCUGCGAUGGGGGUCCUUUGUGUCUAGGUUGGACUCCCUGUUGCGCUCCAGACCUGCCCCAGAUGUGUUAGUCGUGCAUGUUGGAGGUAAUGAUCUAGGAAAGGUAAAAGGGACUAGAUUGGCUAGCACGAUGAAAUGGAAUUUAGGUCAGGUGCAUGAGAACUACCCCAACCUUAAGUUAGUGUUCUCUUGCAUUACAGAAAGGCGCGUGUGGAGGUGUGGGCGUCCCUACCAGCUUAAUCAUCAGCGUGCCUUUCUGAAUAAUGUCAUGUCCGCAUUUAUGGGGUCGUUAGGGGGAGUGGCAAUUCGGCACCCCGAAAUUAAGUACAAUUGGGAGGGGAUGUUUUUAGCUGACGGGGUCCACCUGACGGACAUAGGACAUGACAUAUUCAACAGAAACCUCCGGGGGGGCAUCAAAAGUGUAUGUGAUGUGUAGAUGAGAAAUAAUGAUUCUGCCUUUUUCUCGACUGUGGUGGGAGUGUGGGAAGGGGCUUUUAAUUUUCGUCCCCUUACUGCACUCCCACUGCAGCCUUCCACAGGUCUGCCUACACCACUUUCCUGUGGCAAGUUAAGUAUUACCCCUCAUGUUGUGUUUGAUUUUUUUUCUCAAAUGGUACCUAGUGUUCUCAUGUAUACAAGUAUAUGCUAUUGUAAAGCAAAAAUCCUCACAUACUCGGUGUAGCACCAAAAAAUGUAAUGGUACAUGCAUUUAUGGAUUAUUACUUUGUUUUGUUUUUUUAAUGGACAACACCAAGGGAGAGGGCCAGCCUGCUGCCAUAGACGAGACCAAGGGAGAGGGCCAGCCUGCUGCCAUAGGACACAGCGAGGGGGACCGAGCCAGCCUGAUGCCGUAGACGAGACCAAGGGAGAGGGCCAGCCUGAUGCCAUAGACGAGACCAAGGGGGACCGAGCCAGCCUGAUGCCAUAGACGACAGCGAGGGGGACCGAGCCAGCCUGCGGCGAUCUAUAUUACGAGCCAGCCUGCUGCCAUAGACGAGACCAAGGGAGAGGGCCAGCCUGGUGCCAUAGGACACAGCGAGGGGGACCGAGCCAGCCUGAUGCCAUAGACGAGACCAAGGGAGAGGGCCAGCCUGAUGCCAUAGACGAGACCAAGGGAGAGGGCCAGCCUGAUGCCAUAGACGACAGCGAGAGGGACCGAGCCAGCCUGAUGCCAUAGACGAGACCAAGGGAGAGGGUCAGCCUGAUGCCAUAGACGAGGGGGACCGAGCCAGCCUGCGGCGAUCUAUGUUACGCUGAAUAUGUACACAGCACUCCAGUGGACACGCCAUCCAGGAACUGGGCCAACAUUGAUGCUGCCAUAGGCGACACCUGCAGUCAAUGACUAUCUUCACAACAUCACAAUUAUGAAACUCCAAAUAAAUAAUGAAAUGUAACAGCACACAA